AACGAACGCUGGCGGCAGGCUUAACACAUGCAAGUCGAACGCACUCUUCGGAGUGAGUGGCAGACGGGUGAGUAACGCGUGGGAACGUACCUUUCGGUUCGGAAUAACCCAGGGAAACUUGGGCUAAUACCGGAUGCGCCGGAAACGGGAAAGAUUUAUCGCCGAAAGAUCGGCCCGCGUCGGAUUAGCUAGUUGGUGGGGUAAAGGCCUACCAAGGCGACGAUCCGUAGCUGGUCUGAGAGGAUGANCAGCCACACUGGGACUGAGACACGGCCCAGACUCCUACGGGAGGCAGCAGUGGGGAAUAUUGGACAAUGGGCGAAAGCCUGAUCCAGCCAUGCCGCGUGAGUGAAGAAGGCCUUAGGGUUGUAAAGCUCUUUCAGCGGGGACGAUAAUGACGGUACCCGCAGAAGAAGCCCCGGCUAACUUCGUGCCAGCCCGCCGCCGUAAG
rnacentral:rRNA from 1 species